AAAGGCGCGCGGGAACAUGGGGCUGUACGCUGCGGUGGCAGGCGUGCUGGCCGGCGUGGAGAGCCGCCAGGGCUCUAUCAAGGGGCUGGUGUACUCCAGCAACUUCCAGCCUUGAUGACUUACAAGCCCUCAAGGGGAAGCAUUUUCUCCUGGACUCCUUGAUGCCGGAGCUGCUGGUGUUUCCCGCCCAGACAGAUCUGCAUGAACACCCACUGUACCGGGCCGGACACCUCAUUCUGCAGGACAGGGCCAGCUGUCUCCCAGCCAUGCUGCUGGACCCCUGCCAGGCUCCCAUGUCAUCGAUGCCUGUGCCGCCCCAGGCAAUAAGACCAGUCACUUGGCUGCUCUUCUGAAGAACCAAGGAUCUUUGCCUUUGACCUGGAUGCCAAGCGGCUGGCAUCCAUGGCCACGCUGCUGGCCUGGGUUGGCGUCUCCUGCUGUGAGCUGGCUGAGGAGGACUUCCUGGCGGUCUCCCCCUUAGAUCCGCGCUAUCGUGAGGUCCACUAUGUCCUGCUGGAUCCUUCCUGCAGUGGCUCGGCGGCUCGUCUACUCCAUGUGCUCCCUCUGCCAGGAGGAGAAUGAAGACAUGGUACCAGAUGCGCUGCAGCAGAACCCGGGCGCCUUCAGGCUAGCUCCCGCCCUGCCUGCCCGGCCCCACCGAGGCCUGAGCACGUUCCCGGGUGCCGAGCACUGCCUCCGGGCUUCCCCCAAGACCACGCUUAGCGGUGGCUUCUUCGUUGCUGUAAUUGAACGGGUCGAGAUGCCGAUCUCAGCCUCACAGGCCAAAGCAUCAGCACCAGAACGCACACCCAGCCCAGCCCCAAAGAGAAAGAAGAGACAGCAAAGAGCCGCAGCCGGUGCUUGCACACCGCCUUGCACAUAGCAGAGGCUCCAGGCUGACUCCUUCCUGGUGGGAAAGGAAGAUGCCUGUCCUCUCCGUGGAGGACCCUGGGCCCUCACCGCAGGCAGCAGUUUGCAUUUUGAAAGGUUAUUGGGUCCCUUCCUCGGGCUGUGUUCUUGCUGGUGAGCAAAAGUGUUGCCUGCAGAAAUAAAAUGCAGAACGUACUCUACGA
ensembl:lncRNA NSUN5P1 NSUN5 pseudogene 1